AAUUAUUUCUAUUAUUCUAAUUAUUGCCCAGAACUACUGUUAAUUAAUUACAGCUACACCUAGAAUCACAACCACACUUCUCCAUUCUUUUCUCUUCUAUUGUGGAGCUGUGAAAAUUGAUGGUUUCUGUUUGGUCCUAAAACUGAAAUGGUGGGCAAGGAUAACCUGAAGAUCGAGGACCUGAACUUGUGCUUUGAGAAGCUUAUGAUGGUUUCUGGAAACAAGGAACAGUGGGAAAGGAGGGGAUCGGAUAUGAUGAAGGCUGGGGUGAUCAACGAGUGGACCAAUAUUCCUGUGGAGCUUUUGGUGUAGAUUCUAUUGCUUGUGGAUGGAUGAUCAGUCGGUGAUUAGAGCUUCUGGAGUUUUUCGUGGUUGGAGAGAUGCAAUUUCCUUUGGCCUUGCCCAUUCAUUACUGCAGUCAAAUUUCCCCAAAUAUCAAAAUCCUGAAAAAUUUAGAGUUUCAAUUUGCCUCUCACACUACAAGAAAACGGACAGUUAGCGGCGGUCAUUUUGCGGCGGUUACGCAUAAACCGCCGCAAAAUGUAAAACUGAGGCGCUUUUUCAGGCGAUUUAGCCAGUUGCCGCAGUUUUCGUGCAAUUUGCGGCGGUUUGGGUCAAUUAGUGGCGGUUCUCUGACAUUUUGCGGCGGUUAACCGCAGAGUGAAAUCUGAAAACCCUAAGUUUAAACCCACCCCACCUCUCUUUUUCCCUAUCACCUUCGCCAUUUCCACCUUUGCUUCUUCUCACCUUCGCGAUUUCCACCUUCACUGCUUCUCACUUCUCAACCAUGGAUUGAAUCACGAUUCCCUUUUCUUCUCCACUUGAUUUGGAUAGAUCUUCUCUGCUUCUCAGCCAUGGAUUGAAUUGCGAUUCUCUUUUCUUCUCCACCAAAUUUGGAUCGAUCUUCUCUGCUCCUCAGCCAUGGAUUGAAUCGGGAUUUGCCUUUCUUCUCCACCAGAUUUGAAUCGCGAUUUGCUCUUUCUCCAUUGACAAGCUCUUUCUUCCAAUGACAAUUGAAUCAGUGGUUGAAUAACUGUGUAGGGAAAAUGAACUACACAACCUUCUUUAAGGCUUAGUUGAAUUGAAUCACAGUAUUAGUGGAGCAUCCUUCUGCGGGAUGUGAGUUCUAACAACAUAGUUGGUGAGAUACCAUAUAGUUUGCCACACAUAUAAACAUGGCUUGCAACGAUUUGAGCCAAAAUAUCCCUCUCAUUCUUUACCAACCAUGAAGAAACUGAGACAUCUGUGUUGAGGGAUGAAAAUGGAGUGGGGAAGAGGCAUUAGUCCCUGGAGAUGUGAUCAGCAUCAAGUUGGGAGACAUUGUGCCUGAUGAUGCCUGUCUCUCGGAGGGAGAUCCUCUUAAGAUUUACCAUUCUUCACUAAUGGUGAGUCCUUGCGUGUCACAAGAUUGAGUAUUCUUCAUUUGAUUUGCGGUAGAAGAGAAUUUGUCAAAUCUUAAUUUGUUCAUUUUGACACUAAAAAUCUGUUUGUGUGGUGUUUUCUAACUGCUAUUACCUUCACUUCGUAGCUUGUCUUUUUUCAUGGCUUGUUUUGUUUUGGGUUAUCAAGUCAGGUCCUUUUUAAAUUUAAUCGUGUGGUGUUUGCAUCUGUGAGCAAAAUUCAUUAAAUUUCACUAGUUUAUCCUUAAUUUCUAUUUAAAUUGCAAGUUAAUAUGAUGGUGUCACCCUCAUCCUCCUUCCUGCAACAUAACUACAAAUUAGCAUACUUAUUGUGUAGAACUGUGAUGUUUGGGUUGGGGUGAUUUUUGUGUAGAACUGUGAUGUUAGUAUGUUCACCACUUGCCUUCUGUAGUUAUUCUUUACAGCUUACACCGACUUUAUUUAGAAUUCAAUGUAUGUAUUUGAUUAUAAAAUAUUGUUAUUAGCCUUCUUCCUCCAUAGCUGUUGUCCUCUAUGGAUGUUUGGUUUCUUGGUGAUAAAGUUAUGGCUCAAACUCGAGUUUGGUUUUGUAGUUUGGUGAUUGUUAUUUGUAAGUGAGAUAAUCAGAUAUAAGGUAUUGUGCAGUAUAAGGAUGUGUUAUGUGACAUCAAUGAAUGUGUUUUUGGUAGGCAGGAAGUUUGUAGGAUCAUAUGGAUGUGAAAGGAUGAAAAAAUC